UACGGAGGAUGCGAGCGUUAUCCGGAUUUAUUGGGUUUAAAGGGUGCGCAGGCGGCACGGCAAGCCGGCGGUCAAAUCGCGGGGCUCAACCCCGCCCAGCCGUCGGAACUGCCGGGCUAGAGUGGGCGAGAAGUGCGCGGAAUGCGUGGUGUAGCGGUGAAAUGCGUAGAUAUAUGGAGGAACACCGGUGGCGAAAGCGGCUCUCUGGCCUGUAACUGACACUGAGGCUCGAAAGCGUGGGGAGCAAACAGG
rnacentral:rRNA from 1 species